GCCGCUUGGUGGAAUUGGUAGACACGACGGACUUAAAAUCCGUUGGCUUCACGGCCUUGCCGGUUCGAGUCCGGCAGCGGGUACCA
rnacentral:tRNA from 1 species